GAGCGUGUAGUUCAGUGGUAGAACGCUGUCCUGAUAAGACAGAGGCCGAUGGUCCGAUUCCAUCCACGCUCA
rfam:Candidatus Nomurabacteria bacterium RIFCSPLOWO2_01_FTLL_36_16 rifcsplowo2_01_scaffold_300, whole genome shotgun sequence.